CAAGAUUAGAGUUUGAUCAUGGCUCAGAUUGAACGCUGGCGGCAGGCUUAACACAUGCAAGUCGAGCGGAAACGAUGGUAGCUUGCUACCAGGCGUCGAGCGGCGGACGGGUGAGUAACGCGUAGGAAUUUGCCCAGUAGUGGGGGACAACUUAGGGAAACUUAAGCUAAUACCGCAUACGCCCUAAGGGGGAAAGCAGGGGAUCUUCGGACCUUGCGCUAUUGGAUGAGCCUGCGUCGGAUUAGCUAGUUGGUGAGGUAAUGGCUCACCAAGGCGACGAUCCGUAGCUGGUCUGAGAGGAUGAUCAGCCACACUGGGACUGAGACACGGCCCAGACUCCUACGGGAGGCAGCAGUGGGGAAUAUUGGAUAAUGGGCGCAAGCCUGAUCCAGCAAUACCGCGUGUGUGAAGAAGGCCUUAGGGUUGUAAAGCACUUUCAGCAGUGAAGAAAAGUAAGUAGUUAAUAACUGCUUACCCUGACGUUACCUACAGAAGAAGCACCGGCUAACUCCGUGCCAGCAGCCGCGGUAAUACGGAGGGUGCAAGCGUUAAUCGGAAUUACUGGGCGUAAAGCGCGCGUAGGUGGUUAGAUAAGUUGGAUGUGAAAGCCCCGGGCUUAACCUGGGAACUGCAUUCAAAACUGUCUAGCUAGAGUACGAUAGAGGGGGGUAGAAUUUCAGGUGUAGCGGUGAAAUGCGUAGAGAUCUGAAGGAAUACCAGUGGCGAAGGUGGCCCCCUGGAUUGAUACUGACACUGAGGUGCGAAAGCGUGGGUAGCAAACAGGAUUAGAUACCCUGGUAGUCCAUGCCGUAAACGAUGUCAACUAGCCGUUGGAAGACUUGAUCUUUUAGUGGCGCAGCUAACGCAAUAAGUUGACCGCCUGGGGAGUACGGCCGCAAGGUUAAAACUCAAAUGAAUUGACGGGGGCCCGCACAAGCGGUGGAGCAUGUGGUUUAAUUCGACGCAACGCGAAGAACCUUACCUACUCUCAACAUCCUCAGAACGAUUCAGAGAUGAAUUGGUGCCUUCGGGAACACUGAGACAGGUGCUGCAUGGCUGUCGUCAGCUCGUGUUGUGAAAUGUUGGGUAAGUCCCCGUAACGAGCGCAACCCUUGUCCUUAUUUGCCAAUCAUUUAGUUGGGUACUUUAAGGAGACUGCCGGUGACAAACCGGAGGAAGGCGGGGACGACGUCAAGUCAUCAUGGCCCUUACGAGUAGGGCUACACGCGUGCUACAAUGGCUGGUACAAACGGUUGCAAUCCCGCGAGGGCAAGCUAAUCCGAGAAACCUGGUCGUAGUCCGGAUCGCAGUCUGCAACUCGACUGCGUGAAGUCGGAAUCGCUAGUAAUCGUGAAUCAGAAUGUCACGGUGAAUACGUUCCCGGGCCUUGUACACACCGCCCGUCACACCAUGGGAGUGGGCUGCACCAGAAGUGGUUAGUUUAACCUUCGGGAGAACGAUCACCACGGUGUGGUUCAUGACUGGGGUGAAGUCGUAACAAGGUA
rnacentral:rRNA from 1 species